rnacentral:rRNA from 1 species
AGCGAACGCUGGCGGCAGGCCUAACACAUGCAAGUCGAACGAACCUUUCGGGGUUAGUGGCGGACGGGUGAGUAACCCGUGGGAACGUGCCCUUAGGUUCGGAAUAACUCAGGGAAACUUGUGCUAAUACCGAAUGUGCCCUUCGGGGGAAAGAUUUAUCGCCUUUAGAGCGGCCGGCGUCUGAUUAGCUAGUUGGUUGAGGUAAUGGCUCACCAAGGCGACGAUCAGUAGCUGGUCUGAGAGGAUGAUCAGCCACAUUGGGACUGAGACACGGCCCAAACUCCUACGGGAGGCAGCAGUGGGGAAUCGUGCGCAAUGGGCGAAAGCCUGACGCAGCCAUGCCGCGUGAAUGAUGAAGGUCUUAGGAUUGUAAAAUUCUUUCACCGGGGACGAUAAUGACGGUACCCGGAGAAGAAGCCCCGGCUAACUUCGUG